ACUGCUCAGAUUGAACGCUGGCGGCAGGCCUAACACAUGCAAGUCGAGCGGUAACAUUUCUAGCUUGCUAGAAGAUGACGAGCGGCGGACGGGUGAGUAAUGCUUGGGAACAUGCCUUGAGGUGGGGGACAACCAUUGGAAACGAUGGCUAAUACCGCAUAAUGUCUACGGACCAAAGGGGGCUUCGGCUCUCGCCUUUAGAUUGGCCCAAGUGGGAUUAGCUAGUUGGUGAGGUAAAGGCUCACCAAGGCGACGAUCCCUAGCUGGUUUGAGAGGAUGAUCAGCCACACUGGAACUGAGACACGGUCCAGACUCCUACGGGAGGCAGCAGUGGGGAAUAUUGCACAAUGGGCGCAAGCCUGAUGCAGCCAUGCCGCGUGUGUGAAGAAGGCCUUCGGGUUGUAAAGCACUUUCAGUCAGGAGGAAAGGUUAGUAGUUAAUACCUGCUAGCUGUGACGUU
rnacentral:rRNA from 1 species